AUUGAACGCUGGCGGCAUGCCUUACACAUGCAAGUCGAACGGCAGCACGGGAGCAAUCCUGGUGGCGAGUGGCGAACGGGUGAGUAAUAUAUCGGAACGUGCCCAGUCGUGGGGAUAACGUAGCGAAAGCUACGCUAAUACCGCAUACGAUCUAUGGAUGAAAGCGGGGGAUCGCAAGACCUCGCGCGAUUGGAGCGGCCGAUAUCAGAUUAGGUAGUUGGUGAGGUAAAGGCUCACCAAGCCGACGAUCUGUAGCUGGUCUGAGAGGACGACCAGCCACACUGGGACUGAGACACGGCCCAGACUCCUACGGGAGGCAGCAGUGGGAAUUUGGACAAUGGGCGCAAGCCUGAUCCAGCAAUGCCGCGUU
rnacentral:rRNA from 1 species